rnacentral:rRNA from 1 species
UACAGAGGGUGCAAGCGUUGUUCGGAAUUAUUGGGCGUAAAGCGCGUGUAGGCGGCUUUGCAAGUCGGGUGUGAAAGCCCUCAGCUCAACUGAGGAAGUGCGCCCGAAACUGCAGAGCUUGAGUGCCGGAGAGGGUGGCGGAAUUCCCCAAGUAGAGGUGAAAUUCGUAGAUAUGGGGAGGAACACCGGUGGCGAAGGCGGCCACCUGGACGGUAACUGACGCUGAGGUGCGAAAGCCAGGGGAGCAAACGGG